rnacentral:rRNA from 1 species
AUUGAACGCUGGCGGCAGGCCUAACACAUGCAAGUCGAGCGGAUGAAGGGAGCUUGCUCCUGGAUUCAGCGGCGGACGGGUGAGUAAUGCCUAGGAAUCUGCCUGGUAGUGGGGGAUAACGUCCGGAAACGGGCGCUAAUACCGCAUACGUCCUGAGGGAGAAAGUGUGGGAUCUUCGGACCUCACGCUAUCAGAUGAGCCUAGGUCGGAUUAGCUAGUUGGUGGGGUAAAGGCCUACCAAGGCGACGAUCCGUAACUGGUCUGAGAGGAUGAUCAGUCACACUGGAACUGAGACACGGUCCAGACUCCUACGGGAGGCAGCAGUGGGGAAUAUUGGACAAUGGGCGAAAGCCUGAUCCAGCCAUGCCGCGUGUGUGAAGAAGGUCUUCGGAUUGUAAAGCACUUUAAGUUGGGAAGAAGGGCAGUAAGUUAAUACCUUGCUGUUUUGACGUUACCAACAGAAUAAGCACCGGCUAACUUCGUG